rnacentral:rRNA from 1 species
GUGUUGCAGUUAAAAGCUCGUAGUUGGAUUUGUGGUUGGAAAGGUCCGCCGUUGCUAUGCUUCGUGUUGGAUUUUUCCGUCCAUCCUUGGGUGGAUCCUGUGUGGCAUUCAGUUGUCGUGCAGGGGAUGCCCAUCGUUUACUGUGAAAAAAUUAGAGUGUUCAAAGCAGGCUUACGCCUUGAAUAUAUUAGCAUGGAAUAAUAAGAUAGGACCUGGGUACUAUUUUGUUGGUUUGCGCACCGAGGUAAUGAUUAAUAGGGACAGUUGGGGGUAUUCGUAUUCCAUUGUCAGAGGUGAAAUUCUUGGAUUUUUGGAAGACGAACUACUGCGAAAGCAUUUACCAAGGAUGUUUUCAUUAAUCAAGAACGAAAGUUANGGGAUCGAAGAUGAUUAGAUACCGUCGUAGUCUAUNCCAUAAACUAUGCCGACUAAGGAUUG